rnacentral:rRNA from 1 species
UUAGGUGGAGGAUACCCUCGGGAAACUGAGAAUAAUACUCCAUAGAUCUAGACUGCUGGAAUGCUUUUAGAUCGAAAGAUUUAUCGCCUAAGGAUAAGUCUGCGGACUAUCAGGUUGUAGUCAGGGUAAAGACCUGACUAGCCUACGACGGAUACGGGUAGUGAGAGCUUUAGCCCGGAGAUGAUAUCUGAGACACGAUAUCAGGCCCUACGGGGCGCAGCAGGCGCGAAAACUUCGCACUGUGCGAAAGCACGACGAGGGAAUCCCAAGUGCUGGCUCGUAAGAGUCAGCUGUUUCUCUGUCUAAAACGCAGAGAGAGUAAGAGCUGGGUAAGACGGGUGCCAGCCGCCGCGGUAAUACCUGCAGCUCAAGUGGUGGCCGCUAUUAUUGGGCCUAAAACGUCCGUAGCCGGUUCUAUAAAUGCCUGGGUAAAUCGUACGGCUUAACCGUACGAAUUCCGGGUAGACUGUUCAACUUGGGACCGGGAGAGGCUAGAGGUACUCCUGGGGUAGAGGUGAAAUUCUGUAAUCCUAGGGGGACCACCAGUGGCGAAGGCGUCUAGCUAGAACGGGUCUGACGGUGAGGGACGAAGCCCUGGGGCGCAAACGGGAUUAGAUACCCCGGUAGUCCAGGGUGUAAACGCUGCUUGCUUGAUGUUAGUCGGGCUCCGAGCCCAACUAGUGUCGGAGAGAAGUUGUUAAGCAAGCUGCCUGGGGAGUACGGCCGCAAGACUGAAACUUAA